CGACAUUAAUUAGCAGCCAAUUCCAUGUCAUGGUGAGCGGAUGGUGAUGAUGAAUGCCGACAUUUUUUAUGGACUCGGAGGAGAUAUGAACAUUGGAUGCGACAUUGUCAGUAGCAUGGCCGUGGAAGGAGCUGGGAACCGUCAGCCACCUCCACUGCCUUAUGAGCUUAUCAGAAUGACAAUGGCCACUACAACUGCAGACCAGCAACUUGUAUUGCCGCCAGAUCAGGAAAAGCAGACGGUGGCCGACGAAGUAGGCUCUUUGGAUCAGCUGCAAUCAGUACUGAAUAAGGCAAGCUUUUCUGAUUGGUAUGACUCGCUGCUCAAUGCUGAACCGUUGCUACUGUCAUUUGUUGAUUCAGGGAUGCCCUUCAGAGAUUGUCGGAUGCCGCCAAUACCAUUUUCGGAUGGCAUUGCAUCUUCUGCUGUGAUUGAAGGAAAGAAGUAUGCGUGAGAAAGCGCGAGGAAACAUGAGAAAGCGGCAUGUAAUUGGAUUUAAUUUUUGUUACAUUAAUUUUUUAUACUCUGUAUGCAAGAUAGUGUAUGUGUUGAUUUAGUGCUCAUAUAGGUGAUUUUAUUGGGGGUUAUGCAAAUGUAAAGUUAAUCAUUCAUUGUUACAGGGAAGCUAACAUAUGUAAAUAUCAUCUAUUUUUCUUUAUAAACAUUGGCUGUGUAAAAGUGUCCGUUAUCUUUGGCAACUUGUAAUGUUGUGAAACAGAGUUAGUUUAUCUGCUUCAAUUAAUGCAAGCUGCUUUUUAUUUUUUUUAAAUUUUUUAUAUUUGGUCUUGUAUUACUGGAGGCAGUAAAGUGAAAACACACAUGUACGUAUGCAUGAACAAAUGCACAAAUGUCCAAUUAAAUACCAACUACCCAAAUGAUUUCCAUGUAGAACAAUCCUGUAUAAAUUGACUAAUGAUGGUAAGAACAUAGUAUCUUCUCAAUACCCAACUAAACACUGACAGAAAAGAUAUACAUUAUUUCAGAUUAAGAUCAAGUAUUUAUAUUCACCUGAAGUCGCAACUAGUUUUACGUCUUUCUCACGCUAAAGAAUGAAGCACCCAAAGAAUUUCUCUAGUCUUCAUAUGAUAGAUAUAAGUUGCUCUAGCACUCCUAGUUUUUCCA
rnacentral:lncRNA from 1 species